GAAUCUGGCCUCAGGUCUGGGACAACCAUUGGAAACGAUGGCUAAUACCGGAUGUGCCUAUGGGUGAAAGAUUAAUUGCCUGAGGAUGAGCUCGCGUCUGAUUAGCUAGUUGGUGGGGUAAAAGCCUACCAAGGCUGCGAUCAGUAACUGGUCUGAGAGGAUGACCAGUCACACUGGGACUGAGACACGGCCCAGACUCCUACGGGAGGCAGCAGUGGGGAAUUUUCCGCAAUGGGCGAAAGCCUGACGGAGCAAUACCGCGUGAGGGAGGAAGGCUCUUGGGUUGUAAACCUCUUUUCUCAGGGAAGAACACUGACGGUACCUGAGGAAUAAGCCUCGGCUAACUCCGUGCCAGCAGCCGCGGUAAUACGGAGGAGGCAAGCGUUAUCCGGAAUUAUUGGGCGUAAAGCGUCCGCAGGUGGCUUGUCAAGUCUGCUGUCAAAGGUCGAGGCUUAACCUUGAAAAGGCAGUGGAAACUGACAAGCUAGAGGGCUCUAGGGGUAGAGGGAAUUCCCGGUGUAGCGGUGAAAUGCGUAGAGAUCGGGAAGAACAUCGGUGGCGAAAGCGCUCUACUGGAGAGCAACUGACACUCAGGGACGAAAGCUAGGGGAGCG
rnacentral:rRNA from 1 species